AACUGGCAAAAUGGAAACAAGUCCCCAUUUUGGUUGCUAUAAAAUGACAGGCUGAAGUAUUUUUUUUAAAAAAAAUUCUCUAAUGAUUAUCUUUCUUUUUUUCCAACCACUUGUUAUAAUUCUUGAAUUAAUAGCUGUCCAACUGUGCACUUAUAUCACUCUUAGGUGAUUGCGAAAAAAUUUCAUUCUUAGGUGCCAUCAUGUAACAACAAUCCCGUUAUACAUAUCAAUAAAAUCACUCCUGUUGUUGGAAGGGAGAAGGGAUGGACUUAUAUCAUUCUAAACCCAAAAUUCGUGUUAUCAUAUUUCACAUAAACGAAAAUUCCACAGUUGCAAAGGAAACAUAUUUGCGUGAUCCCAUCUAUACAAAUUGAUUAUUACCUAUAUAAUGUAUUUUCUAAAAGAUGCAAGUCUGCCUACAAGAAUUCACUUUACAAAAAACCUUACAACAUCAUUUGAUAUUAUACCAUUAUUUCCACCCCCAAACAUCAAAAGGACUAAAAAUGGGAAAUAUAAAAGUAAAAAUCCAGCCCUGCCUAUUGUAAUAUUAUACCAUCUCUAUUCAACUUUAGAAUUAACAUUACUUGAAGCUCACUCAUAAACAUGCACAAGCAUCAUUACACUUUCUACGUAGAUAGAAUUAUGAAGAAUGCAAGUCCAAAUUUAUGCAUACUUCUGUAUUAUAUAACUAAUUUAUUUAUUUAUAUUGGUUUAUUUAAUAGCUAUACAUACCUACACUAGCAAAGCCAAUACAGUUUAAACUAGAUUCAAUUAAACUUUGACCAUACCAAGCUUAGAUGAUAAAAUAACAAAGCACCAUUCCCCCAUAUCCCCGUUUAAUGAGGUCGUAGCGUAAAUGAACUAAAUUAAGAAAGAUUUGUGACUCUAAAUCUCCAAACAUUAUUUCAAAAGCUUAGCACAAGACCGAUUGCCGGUCAACAAAACGCGCAUCCAGGUGCCUUGGACUUUAAUACUUUAUAACUUGUCCAGAGCCUUGCAGAUUUGAUAAUAUUCUAACAGUAUAAAGAAACAGCAUUAUGUUCAGUAAAAAAAGCAUACCAUGGGAGCUUGAACGUGUCCUUCCACCACCCUUGUUUGCAGCAGUUAAGGAUUAUUUUGUCCAACCUUAUAAUGACUUCCGAGAAAGUUGGCCUUAUAUGGUAUUGCGGAUUCCAACAUUCCUCAAUCAACCUGUAUGUUUUGCAAAGAUAACAUUAUUAAACACGAGAAUAAAUUUUAAUUUCAAUUUAGAAUACCAUGAAGGCAUAAAUCCAUUAAGAUCAAACCACAAAUGGAGAAAUGAAGCAAUAUAUGACGUGCCUCAAAUUUCAUUUGCUUAUUUUAGCUUAUUAGCUAAUAAAGGAAAUCUACCAAAAGCUCAUACGUGCUAAUAUUCUAUUAAAAAAGAAGUGAUCAUCUCAUAUGCCCACACAUGGAUAUAACAAAUCAAGCUCAGCAUAACAUACUUGGUAAAAAAAGUACACUUUGACAAUUGAUGGAGUUUGCCAAAAUUGUAACUGNNNNNNNNNNNNNNNNNNNNNNNNNNNNNNNNNNNNNNNNNNNNNNNNNNNNNNNNNNNNNNNNNNNNNNNNNNNNNNNNNNNNNNNNNNNNNNNNNNNNUUUUCUGCGACAUUUUGGCCUUCCUAAACUAAUACCACUGAAAACCAACCUAUGCAUUUAUUUUUCCUAAUACGGCCAUCAUUUUUAUUUUAAUAUCUACUUACUAUUGUUUUAAUGAACUUAAUUAAGUGGUGAAAGACAAUGAAUCAAAGAGCAUAUACUGUUAGAUAUCAGAAAAAUGACUUACUCUUUCAGAUCUGGAGGAUAAGACUUUGAUUUAUGUUUAAAUAUCGGUCUCUUUCCUUCUACGCACAUCAGUCUAGCAGCAUCUUCUGGAGACUUGGGUUGAAAUGGUUGGACUCCCUCCAUCAUCUGAAUCCAAUUACAAAGAAAAAUGAAAUAAAUAUCAAUUUAUUAUUCACUUUCUUCUUUUAUCUUUCAUACAUUCUCAAAGAAAAUAGUGGCAUGAAUUUUUCUAAGAAAAUAGAAGCUGGCUGAACCUGUAACAAAUAAAUGCCAGGAGAAUGAAGUCAUUUCAAACAGGGUAAAACUUAAAUGCUUUCGGUUGCUAAAAAACUUAUGACUAAGCCUUAUUUCAUCAGGUUAAAGUAUGAUCGCUAUAUAUUGAACUAACAAAAAGAAUGGGGAGAAAAAAGGAAAGGGAUACCUCAUAAACGAGAAGAGCGAAAGAGUAAACAUCUACUCUUUUUUCAAAUAUUUCAUCUUUGUAGAUUUCAGGUGCCACAUAUAAACCUACAUUAACAAGAACAGUAAUGAGAGUUGCACAUUGAACAGAAAGAAUUUGUUCUUAGUUUCAUGUAUAACAAGAUUUACUUUUUUUAUAUUCACAAUUCUUGAUAUUUAUUUAUUUAUUAUAUUUCACAGAUCUUGAAUAUUUAUUCAAUUAUUGAUUAUUUCGCAUUUCUUGGAUAUAUUUGGUAAUUUCAUAAACAACAGAAUGCCUUACUUUUAUCAAUACAGGAAAACAGUAAAUGCACUAAUAAUUGAAUUUUCACAUAUAAUGCAUACUAAAUCAACAAUAAAAAAGUUUUUCAUUAAAAUUCGAGAAUAUGUUACUCUGAAUAUCAAAAUAGGGAGAUUUCUAAAACUUGCAUUAUUUAAGUAGUGACCUGCCUUGGUGUAUGCCAGCUGUAGUUAAUUAGAAUUGAAUUACAAAAAGACGCAAGGAACUCUAUGAAUUUUAUUGUCACAAAAUUUUCUUCAGUGCUACAAUAUUUUCCCAAAAUAAAUCUGAAAAUACUUCACUUAUUUUAUAUUUGAAGCAAAAUAAUGGAUUGUGACUAUUAUAAAAGGUUAAAACCUGUAUGAAAAUUGAAAUUUGAAGUGAAAUCUACAAUGACAAAAACUGGGAAAAACUGUUUUUCCAAUGACAUAAAAAUAUCUUGCAACAUGUUACAGCUUCAAAGUCCGUGCAUGUCAAAUAAAGGGAUUUGACUCCCCUCCAUUACACAUUUCCUCCAAUUUCAUCCUAUACACCAAUUAUUUGAUCUCAAUAAUUUUGUUAGUAAUGAUCAAAAUAUGUUAAUAGAUAGUUGAUGAUAUUAGGAUCAAUCCUACAAAAAAAGUAGUCAUAAAAAAUAUUUUCACCAUUAAAAGUCUAAAAAAAAAUUUAUCCAUUGAAAUUUUAAUGAAAAAUCCGCAUGUUCAUCAAAUGGUGAAAAAGUGUGAGAUUACUUUCAUUUUUGAAACAAUUAUGCUAUUCAAUAUAAUAAAUUAUGAUCGGUAUCGAUUUCAAUUAUACAAUUCAAAUACCAUGUAUUGGAUGGAAUUGGAGGGAAUGUGUAAUGCAGGGGAUCCAAAUCCCAAAUAAAGUUCCAUCAACUAAUUUUUUCCUUCUGUGAUUUCCCUUCUAAUUCUUUUGGCUCUCUAAAAUAAGUGAAUAACUACGAUCAACAAUACAUGGGUUUAAAAUAACUAUCUUUCUUAUGUUCCCAAACUAAUUACCUACCAUGACUGAAGAAGAAUGCUUCUGGUGCUUCCCAUAGUAUUAUUACAGUUUCAAGGGUCCAAGUGAAGGGUACUUCAUAAGAUAAUCCAUACUAUUCUUAAAAAAAAAUAAAAAAAAAUAAAAAAAUUCCUUAUGCAUGUAUAUCCAGAUUAGAAUCUUUUUAUAUCAAGAAAGAUUAUUUUAAAGAAAGAUGACUGAAAAUAAUUGUUUGCAUUUCAUAGGUAUCUGUUUCCUUGUGUCAGUCUGCUACAACUUCCUCUAUCAGGAGCAAUAGGUUAUAAAUUGUUCAAUAAAAAACUUUAGUUCAAGCUGCUUUGGUGUGUACAAGAACUUACUGGAACGAUCAAUGGCCUCAGGCGACAAUAGUUUUGCUUUGUCUGGAGAAAUUGUUGACAUCUUAAGUACACCGAAUCCUGCAACCUUCACUUGACCUCCAGAAUCCAGUAAAAUAUUUCUGGCACCUUACCAAAAGUUCGAAUAUUAAAAACAGUGCACCUCAACAACCAAAUUCAAUUUUAAAUUGUUUAAGCAUCAAUAUUGACUUCUGCAUUUAGUUGCCUUACUUUGGCUUUAAAUCACAAUGGAUAACUGGGUCGGGUUUACAUUCAUGAAGAUAAUUCAUUCCCCUGCUAAAAAAAAUUAGCCAAGAUCAAAAUAUAUAAUGGAUGAACUCCAUGAUGAAAAUUUUCAACAAGUUUUUCAAAACAAUUAUUAUUGUAUAGGAAAGAAGUAAAAAAGAUAACUACCAAAUAGUAAUAAUAAGAGUACGAGGAAAUAUUGAUCGAAAUAAUGGUUCCACAAUUUUUUUGACAUAUAGCAAGCAAAUUUUCACUUGCCUAGCAAUAUCAAGAGCGAAUCUGAGUGCUUUAGAUAGAGAAAGACGCCCUUUCUUUUGAAGAUACAUUUUCAAAUCACCCUGAAAAAUCACCAUCAAUAUGAAAUAACAUUGUUAUAAAUGCACUGUAUUUUAAGGUAUAAGUUAAAUAUGUAUUUCACAGAUUAAAUACAUCAUUUUCCCAAAUUUGUAGAUUAUUUACAUGAAAUCCCAUAUUUAGAGCAAACUAUAAAACUAUUUGGAGGAACCCGUAUGACUAUAUUACACGUAAACUCUAUGAGGUGAGAAACGAAUUCAGCAUAUUCAAAUGUCAAGAAGUCUACAAAGAAAAGAGAAACAUAACUUAACCACGAUAAUAAUGGGAAACUUGAAUCAUAAUCUAACACUGCUACCUGUUCAGUUUCUCAUAUAAUGAGAUAUUCUGCCAAUACCCUUUAGUUGUAUUCACAUGAUAAGCAUUUUAAUAUUUCCAUUCUUAGAUCUUAGUAUUAUAGGCAAUAGAGUCUAAUCAGUGGGUGUUACCUUUAGUGUGUUUAUGUAACUUAUCUAUACAUGAACAACUGAUAUUUACCUAAAAAAAUCCGAUAACUCACUUGAGACAUGUAUACUUAUACUUCUUUGACUCACAUUGACAUGUUUACAAAACUAAAAACUAUCACAUAACAUUUAACUUUCUAUUCUUGUAACUCCUUCAACUACAUAGACAAAUAUUUAAUCAAGGAACUAUAUAUUACUUCUUAUGUUACUUCAAAAGUAUCUUGGCAUUAAUAAAUUCACAUUGUAUACAACUGGCAUAUUCUCAUUACUUUUACUUCAAGCAAUCACUAAAAAUACUAGCAUUCCUUUUCAUCCAAAUAUCUACGGCACCUUCCAUCCUGCUUCCUCCGAAAACCUCGAAAUGUGGUAAGAAGCAACUCAUAUAUUCCUAAAGGGAAGACCAAACACUCUCCUAGAACCCCAACCAAUGAACAGCACAUCCACAAAGCCAAAGGACAAUGCUAAGUAUGUUUUCUUUCAUGAAAAAUAUAUCGACUUCUCAUUCAUCAUCAGGAAGAGUAAAGAGUAAUUCCCGAAUAGUGACCAUUAACAAAAGGUAUUUUGUUUGAUUAUUUCUUUAACAAGAUUUUUACUCUGUUUCAAACACAGUGGUUCAUUUAUUUCAGAUUAUUUAAUACAAUACAAAGGAUAUGCAUGAAAGAAAACCAGCUGGACUAAAAGAAUUACUGUCCCAAACAUUACUCAAACUUCGUCAUUUAUCUAAACGUUUUGUAAUUAAAUUGUAUACCUUAUAAUGCUAUAACUAACUAUAGGAAGUAAUUAAGUUUCAUCCCCAACAUAUCAAUAGAAAGACAAUCUGACCAUAAGAGUACAUCUCAGAAUUGGAUAAUCAAACAACGCACACGCACGCACACAACGCGCACACGUGCACACACAGAGAUACUUACUUUUGUAGGAUACUCUACAACGAUCAUCAUGGGUAUAUUUUGGGUGACAGCUCCUACAAACUGAAUCACAUUAGGAUGCCUAACCUUUUCUAGCAAAGUUAACUCAUUUUUGAAAGAAUGUCUGCACAAAAGGGGACACAAGGUUGGAAGAUAACAUAGUAACUAAAAGGUCAGACAAAAUUUUCAAACUAACAGCACAACUAAGAAAAGAUAUACACACAUGCUUUCGGGGUCUGAAUAGCUAUCCUUGUCAAGUAUCUUUACAGAAACUUUUGUGCCAUUCCAUUUGGCAACUUGAUACGAUCCCUGCCAAAAGAUAGAAAUUUAUUUUGUUAUGAAGUGAAAUUGAUUUGAGAAGGCCAUUUACAAAACAAUGCAAUUUGAAAUGAAUUAGGGGGUCGGGUGUGGCAAGAAAAGGGAGAAACAUAAAAAUCAUUCUGAAACAACAAUUCUAUUGUUCUAUUAUUCUUUCACUUUUUGGUGCUAAUUGUUCACUACUCAAAUGAAUAAUAAAAUAGAUCAGGACUCGGGAGGCACAACAUUUUGAUAUUUAUAUUUUCAAGGCGAUAAUGUGAAUGAUAGAUUAAAACAUAGUAUAUGCCAGGUCCGGUCAGACAUAGUUCACACAUAUGCUAAUAUGCCACAUUGAGAUUUUCUCAAGAGUAUGGAAGUGUUGACUGGGUUUGCUGGCUUCUACUAUAAGCUCACUAAGUUGACGUAAAUUGCAGCCAGGAGAUUACUAGGGAUUCUUCCUAUUUCACCCUAACUAGUUAUAAUUUCCCAAUUAGACUAAAUGCAUUAAUACCUUUUAUAACGUCAGAACAACAUGGUGAAAUGAGAUAAUAUUAACACCACUAGCAUCUUUAAAAAUACUUCUACAGUGAGCUGACACAUACAUGAUGUAAAAUACAGGAUAUGUCCAUUCAUGCCAUGUCAAAUUGUUGACACAGGCUCUUUGCAAAUAUGAUUAUUAAAUUUCCUUUAACCUAGAGGUUCGAGAAGUUAGAGAUACAUACAGUUUAAUACAAGUGACUAUUGAUAGCAUCAUACGAAUACAAAUUAUCGCCAUACAUAACAAUUCACUACAGAUAAGCAAAAGAUAAUAUGGCCAUUCACGGAAAUUUUAACCAGUGAUGACACUCAAUGCGUUAUAAAAUCAAACUCGCAAGAAAUUAAAGUAAGGUGUGUGAUCAUUAGAGCACAACUCAUCUAGAAAGGCCAGAGCAAAAUACUUUCUUAGUGGCAUAUAUCAUGGAUAAUACUUAGCACAGAAAAAACUUUAAAUGUGCACCUUUGAGUUAUUCUACAAGAUAUUAUGCACUGAGAUAUGAUCACAGGUUUUUGGAAAAAGAUAAAUAAAUCUUCACUGUGAUGCAUACAUUCAAAUAAAUUUACUGUAAGGAAGGAAUUUUGGCUGUCAUAGUCGAAUGGCAAACAGACAAGAUUGCACAGCCAUUUAUAAAGAAAAAGAAAAAGAAAAAGAAAAGAAAAGAGAGAUCCAUGUUCACUUCGCAUCACAAAAAGAAUAUUGAACAGUAACAAGACAAAAACGAGUCGCUUCUUAAAUUAGAAAGCUUCACACUUCCGUAUAUUCUAGGUCACCGAAUUAAAGGAGAUGAUUUAUCCCAACAGCUAAAAACGACACACCAGCAUACACAAUGGCAUACAGAAAGAGAGAAAACAGGAGAUGCUUACACACUGUGAUCAAGAAAAAUUUGCUAGUAUUUUGGUGUCAGAUGAUGCAUGAAUGAGUUCCAAACAAAAAGCUCUAUUCAAUAUACAGUGAAAGGAUAAAGAUCAUGCCUUUGUGAUACCAUCACUUUUGCGAACCUGAAGCUCUAUUGGAUUGAGCUCAUACUCUGGUACUUCUCGUGGAUUUGCAACUGACAUUGGAGUCUUUCUGGUUUUCUAGGAACAUGGCAAACACUUCCAUGAUUAUCUUUAAUCAAGAAAUACUUUAAUACUAUAGAGGGAUUUUUUUCUCACAUACCGGAGCUUUAGCUCCACGUGCCUUCAAAAUAUUGUAAAUUUCGACAUUGCCAUAGUACUUCGCAUCAGCAGCUGCCUAUCAUGAUAAAUAAAAACCUUCUAAAAAGACUGUAGGUGGAUGAUAAGCAACAGAACUACUUGGAGGGAUGAAAAAGUAGCCAAGUCAAAGAACCACGAGAAUAAAAACUGAAAUGUUAAAAAAAUUCAUAACUACAAUGUUACAUCAUUUCUUCUCUGAAAUGAGAUACCAACUGGGCCCGUUUGAUGAGUAUAGUAAAAAGUAAGUUUUAUUUUAAUUUCAAAAAUUGCCAGCCUACUCUAUUCACCUGUCAAGAUUGCCCAUUUGUAAUAUUGGUUUGAGCUGAUGGUUUCUUAAAAAGCUUACUUUAAUAUUAAAAGGAGCAACAUGAAUAAGUAAGAGGUUUUCCUCAUGGAAGGAAUAUGAAAGGAGAUCUAGAAAAAGAAAUUGAAUCCUGUAAUAUAGAAGCAGCCAUUAAGAAUUUGCAGUUCAGUCAAUGAUAGUAAUAUUGUCAUGUAAGGAGCGAGGAUCGUCCUCCCAGAUAUAUAUAUAUAUAUAUAUAUAUAUAUAGACACACACACACACACACACUUACACUUAAGACACUCAGUCUUCUCAUUAACUAGCCUAAAUAUACAUCACUCCAAUCCCUGAAGAGCAAAAGAGGACCAUAGCCACCAAAAAUAUAGCAACAUAUCUGAGGGCCAAAACUCUUGACCUGCCCUAAACAUUACAAUUAAAGCAUCUCAUUUUAUCGAAAAUUUUAAAAUAAAUUUAAUACCUCACGUAACUUCCUGCAACUUCCAAAAGAAAAAGAAUCUAAACGUGAUCUUCAUCCAUACAGACCAGUUUAAUGAUACUCGAUGCUUUCUGUUUCACUUUUCAAAGAUACCCCCAAAAAUACCAAAUUAUCAAAAAAUUCUAAUAUAUGGAAGUUGAAACUAUACCUCCUCCUGUAAAGAGAACUAAAAGUGACAAUCACUAGUACAUAAAGAAAAAGUUAACACUUUCAGCUCUUCGGUGACAAAACCAAGAGAUCAUAAUUUGAUGUAUGAAUUGACCACCAUAUAAUGAGUUGGAUCAUGACCCUUAGGUAGUCUUCUCCUUUUCCUCCCAUAAAGACAAGAAGAAGUUUUGGAAAUGACAUUCUAUCACUCAAAAGGCUAUGAGAUAUACCAAAGUAUAAGGUCAACAAGGAAAAAAAAAAAAACCAAAGUAUGUGCAGUUCUGCACCUUAUCUUGAAAAAAAAAAAGUACUUUGUUCACCUUAUAGUCUAACUAUGUUGUCAAAGUGAAAUUAAAUUUUAUUUAUCCUCGGGCCCUUCAGAAAAUUCUCCUUUGAUCUGUUUCUAUAGUCACCACUCACCCAUCUACCAAUUAAAAAUGGAAUAGCAUAAAUCUUUAUCAAAUACGUGUCAGAAAUUAAUGACUAAUAACAGCAUAAUAAGAAAGCAUCAAAGAAUUAAAUCAAACUGAGAAUAAUAAUAUACCGUACUCCCCCAACGAUCUCGAGCAUCAAUAUUAGCCCUGCGACUCAACAACACCUCCACAACAUCUACAUGGCCUUCGCACGCAGCAAUAUGCAAAGCAGUCCGGCCAUCCAAAUCAAUGCUGUUAACAUCAACACCAUCAUCAAGCAAAUCCUGCACGCCCUCCACACCCCCUUUACACGCCAAGAACAGCAAUUGCAUGGUCGAAUCCAGAUUUUCCGGCACGCACAGAUCAUCCUCCCCAGGGUUUCUCCGGAUCGGAUCGAGCGACGAUUGACGUCCGAAACUAAACCGCAAGUUCUUGGAACGAGGAUCGAGAGAGUUCUGUCGCUUGAAGCUGAAUCUCCCAUUCCUCAAUGAUCCAGUCGAGAAUUGUCGCGAGAUUCCUCGCUUCAAUUGCGCAGCUAAGGCCAUUUGAAAUUGUGCUGGAAUUUAUGGCUCGAGAUCGAGAGCUCCGCCGUGAAGCUCCCGAUUACGAGCGGAAAAACAAACGGAGAGUGGUCGGAGAUUGGGAGUGUUUGGCUUAAUUUAGUAAGGAAAAAGAAAUGGAGGAAUUAUCAUUGAAAAUAAUUUUUCAUUCCAAACAGUUUCCGGCAGAAGCGGUUAGGCCUAUAUUUUAGGGCCGUUUUUUUUCCUUUAAAGGCGUCAAUUGCCGCCGAGGUUCUUAUCCUUAACAGUAAUGAAUGUAGUACUCCUCCGUUCCUAAAAAAAAAUUUAUUCCAAAAUAUUUGUGAUUUUCUUUUCUUAAUAUAACUCGAUUUAAAAAAAUAUUUUUAUUCUUUAAUAUAAGUCAUUUGAGAAUUUUAAGUAAAUAUUAAUGGCUUAGUUUCAAAUAUUACUCCAAAUAUUAAAUAUAACUUUGGUUCUCUCAUUAUUUUCUAUCUAAUAAAUAACAAUAUCUUAUUUCAAUAUAAGGGCAAUAUAGACAAUUGAUAUUAUAUUUAAUGUUAUACAAUCAUUACCUUAAUACGUGUGCACAACCCUAAAACGACCUAUAUUAAGAACCGAGAGAGUAUUUACUUUUCUAUAUUAUCCCUACCUUGUCUCAUUAUCAUAAGAAAUUCUCUUCCUUGUAUUAAUAGUUUUCAACUUCCCAUAAAAAAGGGGUAGUGAUAGAAUU
rnacentral:lncRNA from 1 species